AUUCUGAACAGCAAUGCUCAUCACAUAAACAUGAAGUUUCCUCCAAAAGGAAUGAUGACUAAUGCUUUGAGGAAACAGCAGACGUCAGACAGCAAGCCCAGAAAAACCUGCCAGCACCAAGAGGGUGUCCUCAACAGGCGCCUGGGGGACAUAUUAUUCUAACUAAAGAGACCAGAGCUUCCCCAGGAAGGGAAGAGGAGAGAAAUGAAGAACGUCUGUGUUCAUGUUUGCCAAAAACAAAAGUCUGAGAAAUCUCUGAGAGACUCUACAUGGGAGGGCACUAAUCGAAGCACCUCAUUUAAAGUGAGAAAAGCUUUGCUAAGGGCAGAUGAUUCAGCACGGUAUCCUUCGAUGAGUACUGUCAUCUCAAAUCCUUUUUAAGAACAUCAAGCACAAAUGAUGAUCUCCUAGGACAGUGGCAGCUUCUGAGAAUGCACAGGAAAGUGACCAGGGAAAGAAUGAUUCCAUCUCCAGGAAUCCCUGGUGAUCUUCAGAGCCCAGACAGGACCCUGCUGGGCCAUGGUAACUGAGAAACUGAGAAGCAGAUACAGUGGUCCCUAUGUUGGCAACCUCAGCUGAAGAGGAACAACUCUCUCUAUAAUCAAGGACUUCUGAAACCAGAAAUCACCAGCGUGGGGAGAGAACAUUAAAGGCAGAGGUGUCUCUUAUAAGCACAACGUGUGACCAGAACUUGGAUUACUGUCAGCUUCUAGUGUCUCCAUCAUUCAUAAUUGCACUGUGUUGGUCCACCCACUUUACUCCUAAAGAAGAGGUAAGAAACAGAAGAGGAGAUCACAGUGGCUCUUCAACUAUUAAUAUACCACAGACUUCAAUAACAAAUGAAGAGAAACAAGAAAAGAAAGCAAUGCAAAAAGAACGGUACUGCCCUCUUUCUCUCCUGAACCAUCAAUAAAUCAAGGGUAGAUAA
ensembl:lncRNA SOX5-AS1 SOX5 antisense RNA 1